rnacentral:rRNA from 1 species
UACAGAGGGUGCGAGCGUUAAUCGGAAUUACUGGGCGUAAAGCGUGCGUAGACGGUUAUUUAAGCCGGGUGUGAAAGCCCCGGGCUCAACCUGGGAAUUGCAUUCGAGACUGAAUAGCUAGGGUACGGUAGAGGGAAGUGGAAUUUCCGGUGUAGCGGUGAAAUGCGCAGAUAUCAGGAAGAACACCCGUGGCGAAGGCGGUUCUCUGGGACGGUACUGACGCUGAGACGCGAAAGCGUGGGGAGCGAACAGG